rnacentral:rRNA from 1 species
UACAUGGGGUGCAAACGUUGCUCGGAAUUAUUGGGCGUAAAGCGCGCGUAGGCGGUUACUCAAGUCGGAUGUGAAAGCCCUCGGCUUAACUGAGGAAGUGCACCCGAAACUGAGUAGCUAGAGUACUAAAGAGGGUCGCGGAAUUCCCGGUGUAGAGGUGAAAUUCGUAGAUAUCGGGAGGAACACCGGUGGCGAAGGCGGCGACCUGGGUAGAUACUGACGCUGAGGCGCGAAAGCGGUGGGGAGCAAACAGGG